AUCCAGUUGACGAGUCCUAAAUAGGACAAAACGUGAAUCCUGGAU
rnacentral:hammerhead_ribozyme from 1 species